rnacentral:lncRNA from 10 species
UCCUUGCCCAGUGUAAGUUUCCUGGAGCUGCAGCAGCCUUUUUGUCACCAUGAGGGCAGCUGGUGGGAACCCUAGGAAAGCAGGAAAUCACCUAGAGCCGGAACAGCCUGAGCCUCUGAACCAACCCACAGCUGACUACCCGUCACUUUGUCGUGUCUCUGUGAUUUGAGUCCAUCAUUCUGCUGCAGUUGAAGGUCUACAGACUGUACACGAAGCAACGGUGUCAGCAUCUGCUUCCAGUGGGGCCUCAGGAAGCUUUCAAUCAUGGCAGAAGGCCAAGGGGCAGCGGGGUCUCACGUGGCAAGAGAGGGAGGAGGAGGUGCCAGCCUCUUUAAACAAUCAGCUCUUGCAUGAACUCUUAGAGCCAGAACUCACUCACUACCUGGAAGACGGCAUGGAGACAAUAAUGAGGGAUCCACCCCCAUGACCCAAACUCCUCCCACUAGGCCCACCUCCAGCACUGGUGGUCACAGUUCAACGUGAGAUUUGGAGGGGACAAACAUCCAAACCGUAUCACCCCUCAACCCCUCAACUACACCUGGUUUGCUCCUUGUUUUCUAGAUUUUGACUGAAAUGUCCCCUUCCCGGCAAAGCCGUGUGGACCACCCGGGCUAAAGCAGCCACCUGGUGCUGGCCUGUGUGGCCCAAUUCCAGUUCUCCAGGGUGCUCAUCACUCUGUGGCAGUUUGUCUUCUGGUUUGUGAGAGAAGAAUAAAUCUGAGGGACCCAAAAUCACUAAAGGGAAAAGUCAAGCUGGGAACUGCUUAGUGCCAACCUGCCUCCCCUUCUAUUCAAAGUCACCCCUCUGCUCAAUGAAAUAAAUGCAUAUCUGAUUGCCUCCUUUGGAGAGGCUCAUCACAAACUCAAAAGAAU